UGCCUAAGCCUCAGGCUUUCCUCCCAAGGGCGCCGGUUGCUCCGCAACCGGCGUUUUUUAUUUGCCGA
rnacentral:sRNA from 1 species